rnacentral:rRNA from 1 species
AACUGGGAUUAGAUACCCCACUAUGCCUAGCCGUAAACAUUGAUAGUGCAUUACAUCUGCUAUCCGCCCGGGUACUACGAGCAUCAGCUUAAAACCCAAAGGACUUGGCGGUGCUUUAGAUCCACCUAGAGGAGCCUGUUCUAGAACCGAUAAUCCCCGUUAAACCUCACCUUUCCUUGUUUUCCCAGCCUAUAUACCGCCGUCGUCAGCUUACCCUGCGAAGGACCAACAGUAAGCAAAAUUGGCAUAGCCCAGAACGCCAGGUCGAGGUGUAGCCUAUGGAAAGGGAAGAAAUGGGCUACAUUCAAUAUUACAAUGAAUACGAAUGGGGGGUUGAAACACCCCCCUGAAGGAGGAUUUAGCAGUAAGCAGGAAAUAGAGAGUCCCGCUGAAAUUGGCCCUGAAGCGCGUACACACCGCCCGUCACUCUCCC